GGGAGCUGUAAGAAAAUCACUUCAACCUAUAGAGAAAGAAAGUCAUAGGAGUGGGGGUAAGGGGAAGGGUUAACCUAUAGAAAGAGCCAGAAGAAACUCCUAAGGCAAUUAACCACACACUCUCACCUCUAGGAGGAGCAUCAAGCUUCUUGUCUUCCAGGCAUUCCCAAGGAAAACUUGUAUGAGGAAUCUUCAUCAAGGAGUACUCUGCUUAGUAGGUUCUGUGAUGAAUCUAUUCUGUUUGGGACCCAUUGAUGAAUUUUCUCCGAGGAGGACAGUGAAGCCCAGACAAGAGAAGGAACCUCUUGAAAGCCAGUCAGAUGUGAGACACAUUCUCUGUCUUCCAAUCUAGAUGUUUGAGCUUCCCUUGUUUGGAUCUGUUGAAGACACAGAAACUUCACUGCCUUCUACUCUCCUAUUUCUUUCCUGAUUGGCCUUUGGGAUAGAGGCUGUCUUGAUUUUGCAAAGACUGAAGGUAUCUGCAUGACUUCCCAAGAGACUUCAAGGCAUGAGGCUGAGAACAUGAGUUUUAGGAUUUAGAGCUUAGAAUAUUUUUUCACAUGUCAUCCUGAAGCUAGAAUCAUGGGGAAGAUUCAUGAUAACAGGUCCUUGUGAACAACCUUGGUGUCUCCCCAUAUCAUUAAACUUGUGAAAUAUCACCAAAAGGCUGUAUCCUAAAUGGCUCCAAAGUGGGCUGUUGGGCCAUGAUUUUGGUGUCCAAGGC
rnacentral:lncRNA from 1 species